CACGUAGGCACCAAGCGUUGUCCGGAUUUAUUGGGCGUAAAGAGCUCGUAGGCGGUUCGGUAAGUCGGGUGUGAAAGCCCGGGGCUUAACCCCGGGUCUGCAUUCGAUACGGGCAGGCUAGAGUGUGGUAGGGGAGAUCGGAAUUCCUGGUGUAGCGGUGAAAUGCGCAGAUAUCAGGAGGAACACCGGUGGCGAAGGCGGAUCUCUGGGCCAUUACUGACGCUGAGGAGCGAAAGCGUGGGGAGCGAACAGG
rnacentral:rRNA from 1 species